AUUAGAACAAGUUCCAGGUCAUAAAAUGUAAAAAUCACCAUUCACCAUCACGCUGAGAAGUGCUGAAACUUAUACAUAAAUGAAUAAAAUACAUGUAUAUAGGUAUAUAAAAACUGACACACCGGGAAUCAUCUAGUUUGAGCACAAAACGUCGAGAACUAUCAAAAUUUUUCACCCCCGACCUUUUUAUCCAAAAUUGGGCAUACCGCAAUCAAUAGCCAUCAUUUUUACAAAAAUUUUGCUAAAAAGUAAGUAGGUAAUGAGAAUUUGUGACCAUUUUUCGAAUUUUUUUUUCUACGUAUGUUUGAUAAGUAGGUACUUAUAUCUGAUUGAAUCGCGCAUAUCUCUGUCGAAAUUGUUUCAGAUCAUUAGAUACAUACCUAUAACAGAGAUAGCCCAUGAAUUACUUUCAUAAGUUACCUACUUUUUUCGAACAGAAGUACAAAUUCUUUAGCGAAUUCGCCGUGGUAAGUUGGGUUUUAAAAGUGCCAUAAUCAGUUACGUACCUCAUUCAUUUCCCGAGUAAUAAUUGUUUUCUCCUGCUUAUCGCCCAUCAGAGACAAAUGGCUUGCACACGUUAAAUUCAUCUCUGACACUUUGUUCUCAACUAGGAUGUCAUGCAUUGUAUCCAUUCGUAAUAGAUGCAAUGCAUGACAUCCUGGUUGAAAACAAAGUGUCAGAGAUGAAUCUAAUGUGUGCAAGCCAAGUGUCUCUGAUGAAUAUAAGACAUGUGCAGAUGAAAUGAAAAAACAAGACGAUAAAUAUGAUUAGGAAUAGUCGCCAAAAUGUAUCAGUGUGCUUUAUGCCUACAUACAUCCAUGAAGCUACUUCCCUUCUGGACUAUUACUAACUUGGUGUGGGCAGACGCGAAAAGACAAUAAGAAUUAACUCAAAAACGGAGCUCCUUAACAUCUUGAAACAGCUCACAAAUAUUUACCUAUGCACAAAAUGAGACCCUAAAAAGAAACCCCCAGCUACAGAUGUGGAAAAAGCGUCAAAACUCGAAGAAAUUAAAUCACAAUUUAAAGAACUUUGGAAGCAACUCACCUCACUCUGUAUCGUUGUACCGUCGACGUGGUCAAGCGAUAAAGACGAUUUGCAAGUAGUGUAUUUGGUGGAAGAAUUGGUUCGGGCCAAAAACGUAGACGACGCUUUAGAACUUUUUACGCUACAAGGGAAUUUAUGGCACAAGAUGAGUAUAUUAUUAACGGAUCCAACGAAGGAGAUAAAAUAUCCAAAAUACAAAACACGAAACAACUAUAUAGCCACAUUCGCGAAAAAUUUCACCGAUUACAUUCUCAUUGAAAAUGCGAGAACCACGUGCGGUAUGGUAUCCCAAUUCCUGGCGGUAUGGAUUUUGUCGAAGCUCUAAUCAAGAGCAAUGAUUAUGUCACGACGUCUCGAUACGAAGAUUGUCUAUAGGCAAAGAACUAAAGAAGUGGCCAUAAUUCUAACGAAAUCGUGGAUCCAUAUAAAUCAAACCAAUUAUUUUGACGAGAAUCCAUAAGGAAACGUUGGAAAGGUGCGAUUUCUCAAUCGAUUAACGAAGCUUUGAGUCGAGCCAGCAUGGCAUCGAAGACAUACGAAGAAAUAUCUAAAGAAAACUAACGAGAACCCAUAUAAGGAAACGUUGGUUUUAGUUCAUCCAUUUUUUUUUUUCUAAUCAAAUUCGUAAUAUUUUGGAAAUAUAUUUAUUGGAAAAAAUAAACUACUCAAAUUUCACUCUCA